AUUGAACGCUAGCGGCAUGCCUAACACAUGCAAGUCGUACGGUAACAGGUUUCCUUCGGGGAAUGCUGACGAGUGGCGAACGGGUGAGUAAUGCGUGGGAAUCUACCUAAAAGAAGGGAAUAGUUAAUGGAAACAUUAAGUAAUACCCUAUAAUUCAUACGAGACAAAGCAGGGGACUUUAGUAAUAAAGCCUUGCGCUUUUAGAUGAGCCCACGUCAGAUUAGCUAGUUGGUAAGGUAAAUGCUUACCAAGGCAAUGAUCUGUAGCUGAUUUUAGAAGAUGAUCAGCCACACUGGGAUUGAGAUACGGCCCAGACUCCUACGGGAGGCAGCAGUGGGGAAUCUUGGACAAUGGGCGCAAGUCUGAUCCAGCAAUGCCGCGUGUGUGAAGAAGGCCUUAGGGUUGUAAACUCCUGUUAGGGGGGACGAAGGAAUGCCGGCGAACAGUCGGCAGACUUGACGGUACCCCCAGAGGAAGCCCCGGCUAACUCUGUGCCAGCAC
rnacentral:rRNA from 1 species